rnacentral:rRNA from 1 species
AUGGAGUUCAACGCAUCCUACUUCCACGCGUUCGGCAACCCCGACUUCGCGGCGGUCUUCUCCGACGGCAGCGCGCAGGCCCUCCGGCCGAACCCCUCCGCCGGCGACGGCGAAGGAGCCAGCGUGAAGGCGGAGAAGGGAGCCGCGGUGGCUAGGCCCACCGCCACCCCCUCGUCCGUCACCUUUGUCGUCCCCGACGAGGAGCUGGGGGAGGCGCACCACUUCCUGAACGAGUGCUCCCGCUGCCACAAAGGCCUCACCGGCGACAUCUUCAUGUACAGAGGGGACACGCCAUUCUGCAGCGAGGAGUGUAGGAGGAAGCAAAUCGAGACGGAGAAGGCGAGACACCGGAGGAAGAAGCAGAACUCCCCCAAGGCGCAGGCGCAGGCGGCGGCCGCCGCGGCAGCGGCGGCGGAGAGAGAGAGCGCGCCCCAGGUGCGGCGGCCGCAGCCACAAUAG